UACUAAAGUUGUUGCGGUUAAAAAGCUCGUAGUUGAAAUUGUGUCCUGCGGUGUCGGUCUACCGACUGCGGUACGACAGGCACGUCUGCGGGGCUUCUCGCCGGUGCGUCCUUCGCCAUCCGGCGUCGGUCGGCCGCAAGGUCGGCCGUUCGCCGAGGCGGGCCGUCGCGGCUGUUUACUUUGAACAAAUUAGAGUGCUCAAAGCGGGCUAAGUUUUGCCUGAAUAUUGUACGCAUGGAAUAAUAGAAUAGGACCUCGGUUCUGUUUUGUUGGCUUUCUUGAUAUCCAGAGGUAAUGAUUAAUAGGGACAACUGGGGGCAUUCGUAUUGCGACGUUAGAGGUGAAAUUCUUGGAUCGUCGCAAGACGGACUAAAGCGAAAGCAUUUGCCAAAGGUGUUUUCAUUAAUCAAGAACGAAAGUUAGAGGUUCGAAGGCGAUUAGAUACCGCUGUAGUUCUAACCAUAAAUGAUGCCAGCCAGCGAUCCGCCGAAGUUUCAUUAUUUUAACCCGGUGGGCAGCUCCCGGGAAACCAAAGCUUUC
rnacentral:rRNA from 1 species